GGGUCGUCAUUUCCAAUCGGAUGGCCAUAAUGAGGCCUAACACCUAUGCUAAAGCCCCUAAACAUGCCUAAUUGGCCGAGGAACUUCUUGCUACCUAUUACUGCACAUCCAUAAUGCCAAGGUACAACAUCAACAAAAUAGGAAGCAGAUCGACCAGGGUCAUGCUAAUAAGCGACCAAAAAUGGCUCCUAUUAUAGUUGUUUCCCCACCUCCACCUCCAUGCAGU
rnacentral:lncRNA from 1 species